GACGAACGCUGGCGGCGUGCCUAAUACAUGCAAGUUGAGCGCUGAAGGUUGGUACUUGUACCAACUGGAUGAGCAGCGAACGGGUGAGUAACGCGUGGGGAAUCUGCCUUUGAGCGGGGGACAACAUUUGGAAACGAAUGCUAAUACCGCAUAAAAACUUUAAACACAAGUUUUAAGUUUGAAAGAUGCAAUUGCAUCACUCAAAGAUGAUCCCGCGUUGUAUUAGCUAGUUGGUGAGGUAAAGGCUCACCAAGGCGAUGAUACAUAGCCGACCUGAGAGGGAGAUCGGCCACAUAGGAGCUGAGGCACGGCCCAAACUACUACGGGAGGCGGCAGUAGGGAAUCUUAGGCAAUGGACGAAAGUCUGACCGAGCAACGCAGCGUGAGUGAAGAAGGUAUUCGGAUCGUAAAACUCUGUUGGUAGAGAAGAACGUUGGUGAGAGUGGAAAGCUCAUCAAGUGACGGUAACUAACCAGAAAGGGACGGCUAACUACGUG
rnacentral:rRNA from 1 species